rnacentral:rRNA from 1 species
AUGGCUGUCAAGAACUCCAAUGGCAUUGACAUAGCCAAUCUGAUGAAGCACUCGGCAGAGAACCGCGGGAUCAAGGGCUUCGACGGAGGCGACGCCGUCGACCCGAUCUCGCUGCUCACGGAAGAGUGUGACGUGCUCAUCCCGGCAGCUCUGGGAGGAGUCAUAAACAAUGUGAGAAGGCAGGCCGUCCCAACGUGCCGGUGGCGGAGGGCAGCACCGAGCCUCUCGAGGGACAAUGCUGAUGCCAUUAAAGCGAAGUACAUCAUCGAGGCUGCUAACCACCCAACAGACCCCGAGGCCGACGAGAGAAGGGUGUGCUGGUCCUAG